rnacentral:misc_RNA from 1 species
GAUGAAGAACGUAGCGAAAUGCGAUACUUGGUGUGAAUUGCAGAAUCCCGUGAACCAUCGAGUCUUUGAACGCAAGUUGCGCCCGAAGCCACUAGGCCGAGGGCACGCCUGCCUGGGCGUCACACGUCGUUCCCCCCCCAUCUACUCCUUCGGGAUUGCAGGGGGCGGAUGAUGGCCUCCCGUGCGCCUCGCCGCGCGGUUGGCAUAAAUACCAAGUCCUCGAUGACGCACGCCACGACAAUCGGUGGUUGCGAAACCUCGGUUGCCCGUCGUGUGCGUUCGUCGCGCAUCGAGGGCUCGAAAAAAUGCUCGGCUCCGGCUCGGCUUUCAACGCGACCCCAGGUCAGGCGGGGUUACCCGCUGAAUUUAAGCAUAUCAAUAAGCGGAGGA